rnacentral:rRNA from 1 species
GAUGAACGCUGGCGGCGUGCUUAACGCAUGCAAGUCGAACGAGAAGUGGAGACGGAAACCUUCGGGCGGAAGACUUUACUUCGAGUGGCGGACGGGUGAGUAACGCGUGGGUAACCUGCCUCAUACAGGGGGAUAACAGUUGGAAACGACUGUUAAUACCGCAUAAGACCACAGCACCGCAUGGUGCGGGGGUAAAAACUCCGGUGGUAUGAGAUGGACCCGCGUUCGAUUAGCCAGUUGGCGGGGUAACGGCCCACCAAAGCGACGAUCGAUAGCCGAUCUGAGAGGAUGACCGGCCACAUUGGGACUGAGACACGGCCCAAACUCCUACGGGAGGCAGCAGUGGGGAAUAUUGCACAAUGGGGGAAACCCUGAUGCAGCGACGCCGCGUGAGUGAAGAAGUAUUUCGGUAUGUAAAGCUCUAUCAGCAGGGAAGAAAAUGACAGUACCUGAGUAAGAAGCCCCGGCUAACUACGUG